rnacentral:rRNA from 1 species
GUCUACUGCCAUACCACCCUGAAAGCACCUGAUCUUGUCUGAUCUCAGAAGCUAAGCAGGGUUGGGCCUGGUUAGUAGCUGGAUGGGAGAAAAGAUAUAAAGACAGAUGAGACA